rnacentral:tRNA from 1 species
GUAUAUUAAAGUUUUACAGACCUU